rnacentral:rRNA from 1 species
CACCUACGGGAGGCAGCAGUGAGGAAUAUUGGUCAAUGGUCGGGAGACUGAACCAGCCAAGCCGCGUGAGGGAUGAAGGUACAGAGCAUCAUAAACCUCUUCUGUCAGGGAACAAAGGCGGGGACGUGUCCCCGGAUGAGUGUACCUGAAGAAAAAGCAUCGGCUAACUCCGUGCCAGCAGGCGCGGUAAUACGGAGGGUGCGAGCGAUAUCCGGAUUUAUUGGGUUUAAAGG